GAAAUUACAUCAUGUACAUUUCUGACAAAUCAAUUUGCAUAGUUUUCAUUCUAUGAAACACUGAAGGAUUUAGGGUGUGGCAAUUACAUGAUCAGGUAGGAUAUAAGGCAGCCAAAGGAGGUUGAUAGGCCACUCAGUCACUCAACAUCAUCACAGACAGCUUCUAUCAACUCUGAAACAGAAGAGGAUGAAGACCCUCAGUGUGAUAGUGAUGUUCACCCUCCUGGGUGUCCUGUUGGCAAACCCACUCAACGAGGUCAAUUCUCAGGAAGAUUUGGAUGACAGUGGGCUCAAUGAACUGGAAUCUCCAAAGUUGGCUCCAAUGCAGAGUAAGAGUGUGCUUGUGUUUUCAGUUUCCAUUCAUUUACCCAUCCAUUAUCCCAAA
rnacentral:lncRNA from 1 species